UACGUAGGGUGCAAGCGUUAAUCGGAAUUACUGGGCGUAAAGCGUGCGCAGGCGGUUUCGUAAGUCUGUCGUGAAAUCCCCGGGCUUAACCUGGGAAUGGCGAUGGAGACUGCGAGGCUAGAGUUUGGCAGAGGGGGGUAGAAUUCCACGUGUAGCAGUGAAAUGCGUAGAGAUGUGGAGGAAUACCGAGGGCGAAGGCAGCCCCCCUGGGAUAACGACUGACGCUCAUGCACGAAAGCGUGGGGAGCAAACAGG
rnacentral:rRNA from 1 species